rnacentral:rRNA from 1 species
AGUGAACGCUGGCGGUAGGCCUAACACAUGCAAGUCGAACGGCAGCACAGUAAGAGCUUGCUCUUACGGGUGGCGAGUGGCGGACGGGUGAGGAAUACAUCGGAAUCUACUUUUUCGUGGGGGAUAACGUAGGGAAACUUACGCUAAUACCGCAUACGACCUACGGGUGAAAGCAGGGGAUCUUCGGACCUUGCGCGAUUGAAUGAGCCGAUGUCGGAUUAGCUAGUUGGCGGGGUAAAGGCCCACCAAGGCGACGAUCCGUAGCUGGUCUGAGAGGAUGAUCGGCCACACUGGAACUGAAACCGGGUCCAGACUCCUACGGGAGGCCGCAGUGGGGAAUUUUGGACAAUGGGCGAAAGCCUGAUCCAGCCAUACCGGGUGGGGGAAGAAGGCCUUCGGGUUGUAAAGCCCUUUUGUUGGGAAAAAAAAGCAGCAGGUUAAUACCCCGCUGUUCUGACGGUACCCAAAGAAUAAGCACCGGCUAACUUCGU